rnacentral:rRNA from 1 species
CUACGGGCGGCUGCAGUGAGGAAUAUUGGUCAAUGGAGGCAACUCUGAACCAGCCAUCCCGCGUGAAGGAUUGAAGGCGCUCGACGUCGUAAACUUCUUUUAUAUAGGAAUAAACUUGGGUACGUGUACCUAACUGAAUGUACUAUAUGAAUAAGCAUCGGCUAACUCCGUGCCAGCAGCCGCGGUAAUACGGAGGAUGCAAGCGUUAUCCGGAUUUAUUGGGUUUAAAGGGUCCGCAGGCGGAUUGGUCAGUCAGUGGUGAAAUCCCAUCGCUUAACGAUGGAACUGCCAUUGAUACUGCCAGUCUUGAGUCUAGUUGACGUAGGCGGAAUAUGACAUGUAGCGGUGAAAUGCAUAGAUAUGUCAUAGAACACCGAUUGCGAAGGCAGCUUACGAAACUACGACUGACGCUCAUGGACGAAAGCGUGGGUAGCGAACAGGAUUAGAUACCCUGGUAGUC